CAAACGUGAAGCAUUAAAUUCCCUUAAAACUGUUAGCAUUGUUUGAAUCUAAAGCAUUAAAUUCCCUUAAAACUGUUAGCAUUGUUUGAAUCUAAAGCAUAAAAUUCACUUAAAACUGUUAGCAUUGUUUGAAUCUAAAGCUUUAAAUUCCCUUAAAACUGUUAGCAUUGUUUGAAUCUAAAGCAUUAAAUUCCCUUAAAACUGUUAGCAUUGUUUGAAUCUAAAGCAUUAAAUUCCCUUAAAACUGUUAGCAUUGUUUGAAUCUAAAGCAUUAAAUUCCCUUAAAACUGUUAGCAUUGUUUGAAUCUAAAGCAUUGAAUUCACUCCUUGCUUCAACUGAUAGGCUAAAUUAAUUAAUGUCUGCAACUAUUUCAAUGACUUCCAGAAUGACUGGAAAUCACAUAGAAUUAAUUUAUCACUUCCAUAUUUAGCAUAUAGUGCAAACCAUGAAUUAAAUUGAACUGCAUCUCUCAUGAAUUUACUUCUUUUCAAGCACAGUGUUGGAACAAGGUUGAUGAAUAUUUUACACAAAAUAAAACAAUCAAUUAUUGAAAAUAGAAUAUAAUUUAUUACAUAAUUUUCAUAGAACAACUAUCAAGGUAGCAAGAGCCACUUAUAACGGAAUGAUUUUUGAGUAUUUAAUUGAACAUUUAUAGACUAUUUUAAUAGAUUUCAACAACUAACAAUAUCCAGAGGCAACAUUAAUUUUUCUUAUUCAUUACAAUCCCAGAUUGCUAUAAUAGUAUAAUUAUUCCUGUUUCAUUUUUACUAGAACUAUUAAUUGAUUUGGUCCUCUACAAGGAUCAGGAAGAAAUAGAAAAAUUUGAACAAUUUAGCACCACAAUUUCGCAACAUCUAUUUGAUUUCAGAAAAUAAUCUAUGAAAAGUACUAGCCUAGUUAUUUAAUUGAAUAGUUGGAUAGAUAGAAAAUUAUUAUUAUUUAAACCUAGAAAACAGAUACAGUUAUCAAAACUUACACAACAAUAAUACAUAAAUAAUGAGAGAUGGAAUGAAGUAUUGGCAAAACAAUGGGAGAGAAACUUCAGUAAUCUUUUUUGAAUUUAAUUUUGAAAUUUAUUAUUGAGUAAUCAACUUAGGAAACUGUAACCAGUGAGUUUGAUACAGUUUACAAAAAGUUUGUGAUAGAAUAGUGUAGAUAAUAAUAUUUCACCCACUGCUCCCAGAAAAACGGUACAUAGUAGAACAUUUUUGUUGAUAAUUGUAGAACAAAAUCAACAACUACUUUUGUUUAAUGUAGAACAAUGUUGAAAGGCUAACAUUCGGUAGUUGAACAUUGGUUUUAUGAAUAAAUUUGAAGAACAUACUUCGCAGGUGAAGGUUUGAAGUACCUUUGUUAUCUCAAUCAUCACAACAAUUAAAAAUCCCAAUACUCCAGAAAAGAUUCAUUUUGUAACAGACAUUGUUUAUCGAAAAUUAUUCCAUCACUAACUUCCUGACAGAUCAAAAUCUUUUGACUUCAGAUUAUUUACAAACGAAGCAAGAGCGAUUUUAGGGUUAGGCUACAAUAAUUUAGUGAUCUCCACAUUACUCCAUCACAAAUUUUUGAUAGAUCAAUAAUUUCUUCAGAGUACAGAAUAUUUACAAGUGACAACACAAGGAUGAAAAACAGAUUAGCGAUGGUUGGCACACAAUAAAAAUUAUCAAGUACCCUUUAUUUCAUGACACAACUAGUUUCAACUCUUCAAGACCCAUUUCCACACUUGAAAAAGUCUCUUAAAGAGUUUAAACUACAGUCCGUGCAAGCCUCAACUUGUUGCAAGAAGCUUUAUGACCAAUGUUAUUUCAAUAGAAAAAUAGGAGCACACGGUUGCCGUUUCUAUGCUGAUUCUAUCAAAAAAGCCUACAUUCUCUUUCUUGCUCUUUUGAUAGAGAGUUAGUGGGAAGGAUAUUUUGAAUAUUCUUUCCGUAGAAUGGACAUUGAUAUGUCCAAAGCUCCGCCAAUUUAUGUAGAUGCAUAACAAUAUUAUCUAUAGUUAUUCCAAAUUGUCUUUCUCAUAUCAUAUGCAGUUCAAUAAUUAUUUUCUUACUCUAUAAAUAAAUUCAUCUAUAAUUGUGCUGUAUUGUAAGCUUUUGUAUUUGAGUGUAUAAGACAGUAUUAUAUUGUUAGCUACAUAAAUAGAGAACUCAAUCAAUCUCACAAAAUUAGUCACUGGCUCUCUGGAUUUGGUGAAAUCUGGCAGCACUGUACUCCAUAACAGCAAUGCUACAAUUAAAGGUUUGAACAGUUUCAUAGUUUUAUAUUUUCAAUUCUUCAAGAGUUAAAUCUGGCAACACUGUAGGCUACUCCAUAAGAGCAAUGCUGUAAACUAAGGUUUGCACAGUUUUAUAUUUUCAAUUCUUCAAGAGUCAAAUCUGGCAACACUGUACUCCAAAAGAGCAAUACUUUAAACUAAGGUUUGCACAGUUUCAUAGUUUCAAUCCUUCAAGAGUCAGAUCUGGCAACACUGUACUCCAUAAGAGCAAUGGUGUAAACUAAGGUUUGCAUAGUUUUAUAUUUUCAAUUCUUCAAGAAUCAAAUC